CUGCCUCUGAGUAGCCUCAUUUAAAAAGAAGCUUUGGUACACUUUGGCAGUGCCACCCACUGCUGCAGGUUCUUUACGGCUGCAGUUGGCAUGCUUGUGAAAAUCUAAGCGACACAAGACUCUGCAAGCAUCAGUUCCUUAGAAAAAGUUGAUCUACGGAAUCUGGAAAGAAUAACCGCCAUCAAACUCUGCCACAGGCUUAUUGGUAAAUCAUAUAGGUGUUGCGUACGAGCGGUUCUCCAAUUCUAAGUUGAAAAAUUGCAAGGGAACCCUCUACGCCUAUCUACGGUGAAAGUUCUGCAAAGUUUUGACAGUUGUGGUAAACAAUCCUGACUCAAUAACUACUAGUGCAAUCAUUUCACUUUUUGCAACCACAGAAAUCGCAUAUACAUGCCCGUGGUAAUGUUAAGCCAUAUUUUCUACGGGACUCUUCUAUGCUUGCCGACAAUGCUCAGUGUCGUAAAUGGUUCAUUUUGUGAAGAACAAGGGAAGCAGGUUCCCUGCAGUAAAGG